rnacentral:SRP_RNA from 1 species
CCGUGCUAGACGGGGAGGUAGCGGUGCCCUGCACCCGCAAUCCGCUAUAGCGGGGUCGAAUUCCCGUCCGCGGCGGGCUCCUGUGGGGUCCGGCCCCGGCACGUGGCGUUGACGGCCGGGUCUUGCGCAGCAGGGACUCAUGAACCCCGCCAGGUCCGGAAGGAAGCAACGGUAAGUGAGCCACCCUGGGUGCCGCAAGGGUGCCUGGCCCGAGCCGUCGACCGGGGUAUCGCCCGGAGGAGUGCCGUCAACGACGGGUGCACGG